UUUUUAACCAAAUAAUCCAUUAAACCAUCAAAACAAAAACCACGAGGCUAACAAUGACAUUUUUUUUUCCACUUUUGAUCAUGUACCUAACGUGAAUUGACUGGUUGAAUACAUUUCGUCGAUCGAAUGAUUGUACAAUGUAAAACCAUUCGAUGGACAUUUUAAUUGCAAGCUGUAUCUAUUGAGAAAAGGAGCACGGUGCCGUGGCCAUCCCUUUAUGAUUGCAAACUUCCACAUCUCCUAUUGUCUGUAUUUUGCUGAUGUUUUCUAAUAACGCAGCUCUAACGCUUUACAUGUAAGACGACAAUGGAAGAACUGUGUUUGCAACACUCACUCACUGCACGUGCUGACAUGGACAAACGGCUCCGACGAAAUACAGUUUACAACAGGUUUGAAUGGAGGUAGCGCGCACGCCCACCUGGCAGGGAGGCGUCGCCCAAUUUGAGGGGCAGGUCAGAGGGGCUGACCCCUGCUGGGGAACCAAGGACAUCCGGGAGGGCGUUUCGGCGCCCCGCGCGCUCGGACGAGGCGAAGUCGAGAACCGGCUCCACCUCUGUCAUCUCCAGGACCUCGACCAGAGAGGGAGGGAGGGAGGGCAAGACGUUCCCAUUGAUGUUCCACACAGCGAUUAGCAAACAGGAGUACACUUACCAGCGCACAAUACCCAAAAACAGUCCACGGCAUCUUCGUCCUCGAUGGCUGCGCUUACUUGUAGUUGUACAGUGCACGAAAAGGGUACCAGAGAGGGGACGGUACCAAAGUCAAACCAAGAAGGGGAGUACGACAGCCCGACAAUGCCUUUCAUUGCAAGAACCCUGACAGACGUGACAAAAAUGACCCCAUACAUCCAAAACAUUGACUUUUUAGAAGAUAAACUUUUGGAGUUCUAUGACAAUAAAUAAGCAAACGCUUGUAUUUCGUCCCGUUUGCCCUCGAGAAAAUGCUGCAAACAUUGCUCCAGUAUUUCCAAGAAGAUUAUGGCGGCUUGCCUUUUCAUGUGUACUACUGAUGACUAUCAACAGGUUGUAGAAGCAUGUAAAUAGCGAGGCAUACAUGCAGUGCGUUGAGGAUGUAAACAAUGUAGUGUUUUCAGACGUUGUUUUUUGUUGCAGAAAACAGUAAUGAUAACCCGUGAUUCUUUUGAAAGUGUAUAUUUUUGCUUCAUGUUAUCCUAAACAACUCAGCUCUUCAUUGGCGGUAACCUAUGUAUUCCUGUACUGCAGUCAGAGCGUAUGACCUGUAUGACGCUGUGUAAAUAUAUAGGCUAUUGCGUGUGUGCAGAUUUCACAAUUGGUAGCAAUUUAUCCAUGAACGAUAUAUAUUUUUUUUAAUGCGUAGGCCUAAUUAAACACUUGCCAGUGAAGGUCUAAAUAGCAUAUUUUGAUUUUUGAUGGCUGUUUAUAAAAACUCACCACCAUAUCCUAUAUCACUAUAUCAAUUCUAAUAUUAUCCAUGAUGUCAUUUAUCAGGAAUCAGUUCAAACAACAUUGAAACAUAAUGCAAUGUGAUUUUGUUCACGUGAUUUCUGAAAUUUUGUUUCCCAUCUUUCCAUGUCCUGUGUUUGUUUGGGGUUAUGACCUUCACAUAAUUAUAAUUUACACAAUCAUUCAUCAAUAAUUCGUUUUUUGGCCAACGGAAAAUUAAUAAAUCUUCAAUUGUCGAAAUAAAAAAAAGUUCACUUUUUCA